rnacentral:rRNA from 1 species
AUCAGAAUGCCGCGGUGAAUACGUUCCCGGGUCUUGUACACACCGCCCGUCACACCAUGGGAGUCGGAAAUGCCCGAAGUCUGUGACCCAACCAUUAAGGAGGGAGCAGCCGAAGGCAGGUCGGAUGACUGGGGUGAAGUCGUAACAAGGUAGC